rnacentral:rRNA from 1 species
CUACGGGAGGCAGCAGUGGGGAAUAUUGGGCAAUGGGCGAAAGCCUGACCCAGCAACGCCGCGUGAAGGAAGAAGGUUUUCGGAUCGUAAACUUCUAUCCCAGGUGAAGAUAAUGACGGUAGCCUGGAAGGAAGCCCCGGCUAACUACGUGCCAGCAGCCGCGGUAAUACGUAGGGGGCAAGCGUUGUCCAGAAUGAUUGGGCGUAAAGGGCGCGUAGGCGGCCUUCUAAGUCCGAUGUGAAAGUCCUGCUUUUAAGGUGGGAAUUGCAUUGGAAACUGGAGGGCUUGAGUGCAGGAGAGGUAAGUGGAAUUCCCGGUGUAGCGGUGAAAUGCGUAGAGAUCGGGAGGAACACCAGUGGCGAAGGCGACUUACUGGACUGUAACUGACGCUGAGGCGCGAAAGUGUGGGGAGCAAACAGGAUUAGAUACCCCGGUAGUC